GGAGGGUACACUUUCAUGUCUCCUGAAAAGUCCAUAUUUCUGGAUAUCACUGAACUACCAAGACUUUUCCUAAGAGCAAUGAUGCCUGUCCGAGAGAAACACUUUAAUCAUCCCACUCCCCCUUUGGGACAAUGGAAAAUUGCCACAUGCAAAUGCUGCAGGCCUAAUUGAUCAUGUGUUACCAGUGGUCCAACACCAUGAGCUAUCCAGUGAAUGCAGAACAACAUCUUGGAUGCUAGGAGUACCGAGGGAAUGUAAGAUAUGGGUCUUGCUUUAUUAUCGAUAGUCUCCAGCAGAAAGUAAUGGGAUAAUCACAUGUCUUUACGUCAGUGUGAUAAAAUUUGUAAAUACAUGCACGUGUGGAGGGCUCUUUGUGCUG
rnacentral:lncRNA from 1 species